rnacentral:rRNA from 1 species
AGUGAACGCUGGCGGUAGGCCUAACACAUGCAAGUCGAACGGCAGCACAGUAAGAGCUUGCUCUUACGGGUGGCGAGUGGCGGACGGGUGAGGAAUACAUCGGAAUCUACUUUUUCGUGGGGGAUAACGUAGGGAAACUUACGCUAAUACCGCAUACGACCUACGGGUGAAAGAAGGGGAUCUUCGGACCUUGCGCGAUUGAAUGAGCCGAUGUCGGAUUAGCUAGUUGGCGGGGUAAAGGCCCACCAAGGCGACGAUCCGUAGCUGGUCUGAGAGGAUGAUCAGCCACACUGGAACUGAGACACGGUCCAGACGCCUACGGGAGGCAGCAGUGGGGAAUAUUGGACAAUGGGCGCAAGCCUGAUCCAGCCAUACCGCGUGGGUGAAGAAGGCCUUCGGGUUGUAAAGCCCUUUUGUUGGGAAAGAAAAGCAGCAGGUUAAUACCCCGCUGUUCUGACGGUACCCAAAGAAUAAGUACCGGCUAACUUCGUGC